GGAUAACGUUUGGAAACGAACGCUAAUACCGCAUGAUAUUAUUGAGCUGCAUGGCUUGAUAAUCAAAGGAGCAAUCCGCUGAAAGAUGGGCUCGCGUCCGAUUAGGUAGUUGGCGGGGCAACGGCCCACCAAGCCGACGAUCGGUAGCCGGACUGAGAGGUUGAACGGCCACAUUGGGACUGAGACACGGCCCAGACUCCUACGGGAGGCAGCAGUGAGGGAUAUUGGUCAAUGGGGGAAACCCUGAACCAGCAACGCCGCGUGAGGGAAGACGGUUUUCGGAUUGUAAACCUCUGUCCUCUGUGAAGAUAAUGACGGUAGCAGAGGAGGAAGCUCCGGCUAACUACGUGCCAGCAGCCGCGGUAAUACGUAGGGAGCAAGCGUUGUCCGGAUUUACUGGGUGUAAAGGGUGCGUAGGCGGCUUUGCAAGUCAGAAGUGAAAUCCAUGGGCUUAACCCAUGAACUGCUUUUGAAACUGCAGAGCUUGAGUGGAGUAGAGGUAGGCGGAAUUCCCGGUGUAGCGGUGAAAUGCGUAGAGAUCGGGAGGAACACCAGUGGCGAAGGCGGCCUGCUGGGCUCUAGCUGACGCUGAGGCACGAAAGCGUGGGUAGCAAACAGGAUUAGAUACCCUGGUAGUCCACGCUGUAAACGAUGAUUACUAGGUGUGGGUGGACUGACCCCAUCCGUGCCGGA
rnacentral:rRNA from 1 species